rnacentral:rRNA from 1 species
ACGUAGGGUGCGAGCGUUAAUCAGAAUUACUGGGCGUAAAGCGUGCGCAGGCGGUUUGCUAAGACAGGUGUGAAAGCCCCGAGCUUAACUUGGGAAUUGCGCUUGUGACUGGCGUGCUGGAGUGUGGCAGAGGGAGGUGGAAUUCCGCGUGUAGCGGUGAAAUGCGUAGAGAUGUGGAGGAACACCGAUGGCGAAGGCAGCCUUCUGGGCCAACACUGACGCUCAUGCACGAAAGCGUGGGGAGCAAACAGGA